AUCAAAGAAUUGGAAUUUGUGUAUGAAAAAUGCAAAAACAACUUGAAGCUGGCAAAUGACCUCUUCCCAAACAACCAUAACCUGAAGCUGUAUGAAGACAAAUUUGCGAAAAUGUAUCAACCACAAAGUCAGGAAGAAGAAGAACAACAAAGAUUUGAAAGAGAAGGUGACACUGAAUAUAAUCCAGGAAGACUGAGGAGAGAGGUAAAGGUCGGAGACUCCAAAAAAUCACCAUUUCUUGAUCGCACAAUUGACUUCAACAAGCAAAAGAUUACAAAGGCAGAGGAGGAGGUGUGGAAUUGGAUCACAGCAGAUACAUCAGAUGCAACCCAAAUUAUUUUCUUCUGGGAGGAUGUAAUUUGCAUGAGCUACCAGAUUAAAACUUUUCAAUUCAAUGAAAAAAUAUCAACUGCUGUCAUUGAUGUAUAUGCGACCAUCCUGAAUGAAGAUGAAAAAUACAGAUCCCCAG